rnacentral:lncRNA from 1 species
AAUAUCUAAACAAUAGAAAUAAAUAAAUUAAAAUAUUUUUAAUUUAUUAAUGUAUCAGAUUUGAUCUAAAAAUCAUAACAAAGAUCUUGACACGAGCAUGCAACCAUGAUCUCAAAUCUGAAAAAGAAAACAAAUGAUUAGAAAAAUAAAUCGGAGAUCAAAUCUCCAUACCUUUGGAUCUGUAGAUGUCCGGGGUUCUGAUCGUAUUCACGUACGCACCCGACCUCUACUAGUAUCAAUACAAAGAUACUUGAUCAGAGCAUCG